AGUGGGGAAUCUUGGUCAAUGGGCGAAAGCCUGAACCAGCGAUGCCGCGUGAGUGAUGAAGGCCUUCGGGUUGUAAAGCUCUGUGGGGCGAGACGAAAGCCUGGUUUCUAAUAGGAAUCAGUUUGACGGUAUCGCCUUAGCAAGCACCGGCUAACUCUGUGCCAGCAGCCGCGGUAAGACAGAGGGUGCAAACGUUGCUCGGAAUCACUGGGCGUAAAGGGCGUGUAGGCGGGAAUGUAAGUCGGGCGUGAAAUCCCUAGGCUCAACCUAGGAACUGCACUCGAAACUGCGUUUCUUGAGUGCCGGAGAGGAAAGCGGAAUACCUGGUGUAGAGGUGAAAUUCGUAGAUAUCAGGUGGAACACCAGUGGCGAAGGCGGCUUUCUGGACGGUAACUGACGCUGAGACGCGAAAGCGUGGGGAGCAAA
rnacentral:rRNA from 1 species